AUUGAACGCUGGCGGCAUGCCUUACACAUGCAAGUCGAACGGUAACAGGUCUUCGGAUGCUGACGAGUGGCGAACGGGUGAGUAAUACAUCGGAACGUGCCCGAUCGUGGGGGAUAACGGAGCGAAAGCUUUGCUAAUACCGCAUACGAUCUACGGAUGAAAGCAGGGGACCGCAAGGUCUUGCGCGGACGGAGCGGCCG
rnacentral:rRNA from 1 species